AGUGAACGCUGGCGGUAGGCCUAACACAUGCAAGUCGAACGGCAGCACAGUAAGAGCUUGCUCUUACGGGUGGCGAGUGGCGGACGGGUGAGGAAUACAUCGGAAUCUACUUUUUCGUGGGGGAUAACGUAGGGAAACUUACGCUAAUACCGCAUACGACCUACGGGUGAAAGCAGGGGAUCUUCGGACCUUGCGCGAUUGAAUGAGCCGAUGUCGGAUUAGCUAGUUGGCGGGGUAAAGGCCCACCAAGGCGACGAUCUGUAGCUGGUCUGAGAGGAUGAUCAGCCACACUGGAACUGAGACACGGUCCAGACUCCUACGGGAGGCAGCAGUGGGGAAUAUUGGACAAUGGGCGCAAGCCUGAUCCAGCCAUACCGCGUGGGUGAAGAAGGCCUUCGGGUUGUAAAGCCCUUUUGUUGGGAAAGAAAAGCAGCAGGUUAAUACCCCGCUGUUCUGACGGUACCCAAAGAAUAAGCACCGGCUGACUUCGUG
rnacentral:rRNA from 1 species